CGCGGGGUAGAGCAGUCUGGUAGCUCGUUUGGCUCAUAACCAAAAGGUCGUAGGUUCAAAUCCUACCCCCGCAACCA
rnacentral:tRNA from 1 species